rnacentral:ncRNA from 1 species
AUAAUUGCGAAAAAAUUAUGCCAGAGUGACUUCGGUAAGACCAUGUAUGGGGGCUGACACCUGCCCAGUGCCGAAAGGUCAAGGAAGUUGGUGAACUGAUGACAGGAAAGCCGGCGACCGAAGCCCCGGUGAACGGCGAUCGUAACUAUAACGGUCCUAAGGUAGCGAAAUUCCUUGUCGGGUAAGUUCUGUGGAUUGGUCAGA